rnacentral:tRNA from 1 species
CCGUGGCGCAGCAUGGAUAGAAAUAGCUAACCCACAAAGCGCGUCGGCCUUCUAAGCCGGAGAUCCCGGGUUCAAAUCCCGGCGG